rnacentral:rRNA from 1 species
UGCGUAGACGGUUAUGUAAGUCGGGUGUGAAAGCCCCGGGCUCAACCUGGGAAUGCCAUUCGAGACUGCGUAGCUAGGGUGCGGAAGAGGGAAGCGGAAUUUCCGGUGUAGCGGUGAAAUGCGUAGAUAUCGGAAGGAACACCAGUGGCGAAAGCGGCUUCCUGGUCCAGCACCGACGUUCAGGCACGAAAGCGUGGGGAGCAAACAGGAUUAGAUACCCUGGUAGUCCACGCCAUAAACGAUGAGAACUAGACGUUGAGAGGGUAAGCCUCGCAGUGUCGUAGCUAACGCGCUAAGUUCUCCGCCUGGGGAGUACGGCCGCAAGGUUGAA